UAGGGAAUCUUCCACAAUGGACGCAAGUCUGAUGGAGCAACGCCGCGUGAGUGAAGAAGGUUUUCGGAUCGUAAAGCUCUGUUGUUGGUGAAGAAGGAUAGAGGCAGUAACUGGUCUUUAUUUGACGGUAAUCAACCGGAAAGUCACGGCUAACUACGUGCCAGCAGCCGCGGUAAUACGUAGGUGGCAAGCGUUGUCCGGAUUUAUUGGGCGUAAAGCGAGCGCAGGCGGAAUGAUAAGUCUGAUGUGAAAGCCCACGGCUCAACCGUGGAACUGCAUCGGAAACUGUCAUUCUUGAGUGCAGAAGAGGAGAGUGGAACUCCAUGUGUAGCGGUGGAAUGCGUAGAUAUAUGGAAGAACACCAGUGGCGAAGGCGGCUCUCUGGUCUGCAACUGACGCUGAGGCUCGAAAGCAUGGGUAGCGAACAGGAUUAGAUACCCUGGUAGUCCAUGCCGUAAACGAUGAGCGCUAGGUGUUGGGGACUUUCCGGUCCUCAGUGCCGCAGCAAACGCAUUAAGCGCUCCGCCUGGGGAGUACGACCGCAAGGUUGAAAC
rnacentral:rRNA from 1 species